UAUUUCAAUUUUGAUAUUAUAACUCCACUCACAUACAAAGGUGCUACAUAUCAUAUAAGGAGGCUCGGUGCUUACGGAUUGCCAAGGACCUCACCAUAACGCUAUUAACCACCUAGUUUUCAUCUUGAAACUUCCCUAGCCUUGAGCUAGUAUUCAUGUGUUACGACGUUAAUUAAGCAAAUCCGGUGAAGUUUACGACGCACAGGA
rnacentral:lncRNA from 1 species